rnacentral:rRNA from 1 species
CGCUGGCGGCGUGCUUCAUACAUGCAAGUCGAACGAGAAGCUCACUUCGGUGAGUGGAAAGUGGCGGACGGGUGAGUAAUGUGUAGAGAAUCUGCCCUAGAGUGGGGGAUAGCAGUUGGAAACGACUAUUAAUACCCCAUAUGCGCGUAGCUGAGAUGCUAUUCGUGAAAACUCCGGUGCUCUAGGAUGAGUCUGCAUCUGAUUAGCUAGUUGGCGGUGUAAUGGACCACCAAGGCGACGAUCAGUAGCUGGUUUGAGAGGAUGAUCAGCCACAAUGGGACUGAGACACGGCCCAUACUCCUACGGGAGGCAGCAGUAGGGAAUUUUGCGCAAUGGGGGGAAAAACCCCUGACGCAGCAACGCCGCGUGAAUGAAGAAGCCCUUCGGGGUGUAAAGUUCUGUCAGUGGGGACGAAACUUGACGGUACCCACAGAGGAAGCAUCGGCUAACUCCGUGCCAGCCGCCGC